rnacentral:rRNA from 1 species
UGACGAGUUUGAUCCUGGCUCAGGACGAACGCUGGCGGCGUGCCUAACACAUGCAAGUCGAACGGACUUACAUUGAAGCCUAGCGAUAUGUAAGUUAGUGGCGGACGGGUGAGUAACGCGUGGGUAACCUGCCCUAUACAGGGGGACAACAGUUGGAAACGACUGCUAAUACCGCAUAAGCGCACAGUACCGCAUGGUACAGAGCGAAAAACUCCGGUGGUAUAGGAUGGGCCCGCGUCUGAUUAGUUAGUUGGCGGUGUAACGGACCACCAAGACGACGAUCAGUAGCCGGCUUGAGAGAGUGAACGGCCACAUUGGGACUGAGACACGGCCCAAACUCCUACGGGAGGCAGCAGUGGGGAAUAUUGCACAAUGGGGGAAACCCUGAUGCAGCAACGCCGCGUGAGUGAAGAAGUAUUUCGGUAUGUAAAGCUCUAUCAGCAGGGAAGAAAAUGACGGUACCUGACUAAGAAGCCCCGGCUAACUACGUG